AAAGGUUAGGUCAGCCGGGUGUUGGACGUCCCGGUUUAAGCGUGUAGGCGUGCCCCUUAGGCAAAUCCGGGGGACUGAGCUGAGGCGUGAUGACGAGGAACCACGGUUCCGAAGUGAUAGAUACCAAGCUUCCAGGAAAAGCCACUAAGCUUCAGUCUAGAGUUGACCGUACCGCAAACCGACACAGGUGGGCAGGAUGAAAAUUCUAAGGCGCUUGAGAGAACUCAGGAGAAGGAACUCGGCAAAUUAACACCGUAACUUCGGGAGAAGGUGUGCCCCGGUAGCGUGUAGAGACUUGCUCUCGAAGCACGAUGGGGUUGCAGUGAAAUGGUGGCUGCGACUGUUUAAUAAAAACACAGCACUCUGCAAACACGAAAGUGGACGUAUAGGGUGUGACGCCUGCCCGGUGCCGGAAGGUUAAGUGAUGGGGUGCAAGCUCUUGAUCGAAGCCCCGGUAAACGGCGGCCGUAACAAUAACGGUCCUAAGGUAGCGAAAUUCCUUGUCGGGUAAGUUCCGACCUGCACGAAUGGCGUAACGAUGGCCACACUGUCUCCUCCUGGGACUCAGCGAAGUUGAAAUGUUUGUGAAGAUGCAAUCUACCCGCGGCUAGACGGAAAGACCCCAUGAACCUUUACUGUAGCUUUGCAUUGGACUUUGAACCGGUUUGUGUAGGAUAGGUGGGAGACUGUGAAGCCGGGACGCUAGUUUCGGUGGAGUCAACCUUGAAAUACCACCCUGAUUUGUUUGAGGUUCUAACCUUGGUCCGUGAAUCCGGAUCGGGGACCGUGCAUGGUAGGCAGUUUGACUGGGGCGGUCUCCUCCCAAAAGGUAACGGAGGAGUACGAAGGUACGCUUAGGGCGGUCGGACAUCGCCCACAAAGUGCAAUGGCAAAAGCGUGCUUGACUGCGAGACCCACAAGUCGAGCAGGUACGAAAGUAGGUCAUAGUGAUCCGGUGGUUCUGUAUGGAAGGGCCAUCGCUCAACGGAUAAAAGGUACUCUGGGGAUAACAGGCUAAUUCCUCCCAAGAGUUCAUAUCGACGGGGGAGUUUGGCACCUCGAUGUCGGCUCAUCACAUCCUGGGGCUGUAGUCGGUCCCAAGGGUAUGGCUGUUCGCCAUUUAAAGUGGUACGCGAGCUGGGUUUAAAACGUCGUGAGACAGUUUGGUCCCUAUCUGCCGUGGGCGCUGGAAAUUUGAAGGGGGCUGCUCCUAGUACGAGAGGACCGGAGUGGACGAACCUCUGGUGUACCGGUUAUGACGCCAGUCGUAUCGCCGGGUAGCUAGGUUCGGAAGAGAUAAACGCUGAAAGCAUCUAAGCGUGAAACUCGCCUUAAGAUAAGAUUUCCCGGAGUCUUGAACUCCCUGAAGGGUCGUCGAAGACCACGACGUUGAUAGGUCAGGUGUGGAAGCGCAGCAAUGCGUUAGGCUAACUGAUACUAAUUGCCCGUGCGGCUUGAUCC
rnacentral:rRNA from 1 species